AAUAGCAGUAAACAGGAAGAAGAAGAAGAGGAUGAAAAAGAGAAGAAGAGGGUUUAUUAUUUUGGUUCUUGGUAUGAGCAAAUCGGAAAAACACAAAUUAACUCUCUACCAGCAUUUCUAAUAUCUAUGUUGGUGUAGCUGAUCCAUGUCAAUUUAACACCACAUGUUCCGCAACAAUUAGAAUUUUUACUGCAAAAGACCGUGCUUCAGUUCAGCUUAACAUUGGUCAUAUUGAUGAGAGUGGCAUAUAUACUGGAGUUCUCUACUUUUGCCCUUAGCGGUUUCGUUUGUGCCCAGUGCAUACGAUAGGCUGUGACAGAAGAAGAAAGUUGAAGUAGGUGCUGCGGGUGUGGGUAUGUUGGCAAAAGUCUGUUCUUUAGGAGAGGUGUAAUGUCAAGAGCACCGAAAUGCAACAUCUUUUUUGCUGCUAAAUGAUUGUAAAUUUGUAAUGUUUUUGAAAUAAUUGAACAAGAAAUUAGGCGUU